UACGGAGGGGGCUAGCGUUGUUCGGAAUCAUUGGGCGUAAAGGGCGCGUAGGCGGCCGAUCAAGUCGGAGGUGAAAUCCCUCGGCUCAACUGAGGAAUUGCCUUCGAUACUGUUCGGCUUGAGUCCUGGAGAGGGUAGCGGAAUUCCCGGUGUAGCGGUGAAAUGCGUAGAGACCGGGAAGAACACCAGUGGCGAAGGCGGCUACCUGGACAGGUACUGACGCUGAAGCGCGAAAGCGUGGGGAGCGAUCCGG
rnacentral:rRNA from 1 species